AGAGUUUGAUCCUGGCUCAGGACGAACGCUGGCGGCGUGCUUAACACAUGCAAGUCAAGGAGAAAUUACGAGCUUGCUCGUAAGAUUAAACUGGCGAACGGGUGAGUAACGCGUAGGCAACCUGCCUCUGUGAUCGGGAUAACAUCGAGAAAUCGUUGCUAAUACCGAAUGACAUUAGAUUGUCGCAUGACAGUUUAAUUAAAGAUGUCGUAAGUUAUCGCACAGAGAUGGGCCUGCGUUCCAUUAGUUAGAUGGUAGGGUAACGGCCUACCAUGGCAACGAUGGAUAGCUGGUCUGAGAGGGUGAUCAGCCACACUGGGACUGAGAUACGGCCCAGACUCCUACGGGAGGCAGCAGUGAGGAAUAUUGCGCAAUGGACGAAAGUCUGACGCAGCAACGCCGCGUGGGGGAUGAAGCACUAUGGUGUGUAAACCUCUGUAGACAGGGAAGAACGGCAUAUGUUCGAUAAGGGCAUGUGAUUGACGGUACCUGUAAAGUAAGCUCCGGCUAACUCCGUGCCAGCAGCCGCGGUAAUACGGGGGGAGCAAGCGUUGUCCGGAAUUACUGGGCGUAAAGGGCGUGUAGGCGGCUUGAUAAGUCAGAUGUGAAAGCCUUCCGCUUAACGGAAGAACUGCAUUUGAAACUGUUGGGCUUGAGUGCGAGAGAGGGUAGUGGAAUUCCCAGUGUAGCGGUGAAAUGCGUAGAUAUUGGGAAGAACACCAGUAGCGAAGGCGGCUACCUGGCUCGUAACUGGCGCUAAGGCGCGAAAGCGUGGGGAGCAAACAGGAUUAGAUACCCUGGUAGUCCACGCUGUAAACGAUGGGUACUAGGUGUUGGAUUCGAUACGUCGGAUUCGGUGCCGUAGCAAACGCAUUAAGUACCCCGCCUGGGGAGUACGAUCGCAAGGUUGAAACUCAAAGGAAUUGACGGGGGCCCGCACAAGCGGUGGAGCAUGUGGUUUAAUUCGAUGCAACGCGAAGAACCUUACCGGGGUUUGACAUCAUAGCGAAGUUUACAGAGAUGUGAAUGCCUUUCGGGGCGCUAUGACAGGUGCUGCAUGGCUGUCGUCAGCUCGUGUCGUGAGAUGUUGGGUUAAGUCCCGCAACGAGCGCAACCCCUUUCUUUAGUUACCAUCAUUCAGUUGGGGACUCUAAAGAUACCGCCCCGGUUAACGGGGAGGAAGGUGGGGAUGACGUCAAGUCCUCAUGGCCUUUAUGCCCAGGGCUACACACGUGCUACAAUGGGCUGUACAAAGGGUUGCCAGCCCGCGAGGGUGAGCUAAUCCCAAAAAGCAGUUCGUAGUUCGGAUUGGAGUCUGCAACUCGACUCCAUGAAGCUGGAAUCGCUAGUAAUCGUGGAUCAGCAUGCCACGGUGAAUACGUUCCCGGGCCUUGUACACACCGCCCGUCACACCAUGAGAGUUGGUUGUACCAGAAGUCGUUGGGCAAACCCUUCGGGGAUGCAGGCGCCUAAGGUAUGGCUGAUAAUUGGGGUGAAGUCGUAACAAGGUA
rnacentral:rRNA from 1 species